rnacentral:ncRNA from 1 species
AUUGUAAAAAAGCAAAAUAAACGAAAGUUUAUGACGCAAAGCCAUGAUCUAAAAGUUUUAAUAAAACUCAUGAUAGCCAGGUUGAACAA